GUCGAGAUGGCUCAGUGGUUAAGAGCAUUGGUUGCUCUUCCAAGGGACCUGAGUUCGAUCCUCAGCACCCACA
rnacentral:tRNA from 1 species